rnacentral:tRNA from 1 species
GUUGGUGUAGCUCAGUCGGUAGAGCAUCAGCUUGUGGUACUGCUGAGUGCGGCUAGUUCGGCUCUGCUCACUCUCU